rnacentral:rRNA from 1 species
GGUUGCAACCGUCUCGUUAUCAACUCUGAUAACGUGGAAGUCAUUGACAUAAUGAAGAGCGGAGGACAUUCUGUAGGAGUGGCGGCCGUGGUUUUUGAUGGUUGCUAUUUUAUAGCUUGCAGUUUUUCUCUUACUUGUUUUGAACAUUGUAAUAGAGAAGCGAAUAAAGUAGCUCAUGAGCUUGCCAGUCUUGCAAAAUGUUUUUUUGCGAGAAGUCUUGCAAAAUUGUCGGCGUGCUGGGAAUCAGGGUACCCAGACUUGCUUGCCUGCGGCCCACGCCGUGGCUCCAUCAACAACCUGGUACAACCCAUCUACAAGAUUACCAAGACAAGACCCUCGCGAGGGGCCAAGCCUCGCGAGGCGAACGACGUCAAGACCUCCUAA